rnacentral:rRNA from 1 species
CAGUCGCCACGGUAAUACGUAGGGUGCAAGCGUUAAUCGGAAUUACUGGGCGUAAAGCGUGCGCAGGCGGUUAUAUAAGACAGAUGUGAAAUCCCCGGGCUCAACCUGGGAACUGCAUUUGUGACUGUAUAGCUAGAGUACGGCAGAGGGUGAUGGAAUUCCGCGUGUAGCAGUGAAAUGCGUAGAUAUGCGGAGGAACACCGAUGGCGAAGGCAAUCCCCUGGGCCUGUACUGACGCUCAUGCACGAAAGCGUGGGGAGCAAACAGGAUUAGAUACCCGCGUAGUCCCUGUCUCUUAUAA